rnacentral:lncRNA from 1 species
AUGGUUUCAUGUCUUUGUGAAUUUAAUCCUGUCAUUUCUAUUGAUCACUUUGGCUGUGGAGACCAAGAAGGAGAAAAGGACAGUUUCAUUUAUGGGUCCACCAUGAAACGGCGUGUCAUCUAUAUCCUUGACCAACUUAUGAUAACUGUUGAACAGGACAAUAUUUCUUUCUUUAUGAGGAAGCCAAGCCAUCACCAGAAACAACAUAAAAAUCUCUCUCCAUUCUGGACAUUGACAGCAUAUGAAUCAACAUUGACUUGA